UGCUCAAGUCCAUGUGUGCCGGGCAGAGGCUAGCGAGCGAGCCCCAGGACCCUGCGGCCGUGUCUCUGCCCACGUCGAGCGUGCCCGAGACCCGAGAAGGGACUGGGUCACUACUGAGGGGAGGAGAGGAAGCUCAGAUGGCGGCAAACUGAAGGGAAGCCGACUCUGAGUCAGGCCUAGGUGCACGGCCUGCCAUGCUGCGUGCUGUGGGGAGCUGAGAGCGCAUGGGCACCU
rnacentral:lncRNA from 1 species